CGACUACAAGACAUCGGACAUUGACAUGGGCUGUUGCAUGUACGAGAGCUGCAUCUUCACCAAUUGAAGUGAUCGAUCUGACUUCACCGCCACCAGUGGCCCUAGUGUCACCGGUCCAAAACCCAAUGCAGGGAUUUAAUGUGGACUUUAUAACGCCUCAAAACCAG